UUUUUUUUGUAACGACAAGCAAAUGGUUUCAUCUUGUGAACAUGUAUCAAUGAAAGACAACUUCGUAUACUCUUCAGGUGGGUGUGUCAUUUCAAACUCAGUUUAUCGCAAUAAAUGUUGUAAUAUUUUCAUUUCCAUGUAAAUCUAAUGAAUUUGUUAUUUGAUACAACAUCAUUUAUAUCUGACUUCAGACUGGUGAAUUUGAUUUUAUCAAUUUACUAUAGCGCUACCUGAUUAUCUCUCGAAGUAUAUAAUGUUUAGAAAUUUCGGACAGCGCAUAUUUCGGAUAAAACGUUUCAAUAUGAUUAUCAGUGUGUUUUAGUUGAAUAUAUUUUCUUCUAACUGUAAAUAUUAUUAAUUAUUAUUAUUAUCUGUAUAAAGCACAAACAGUCAAGCUGUAUAUAACCAAUUUCAAUUGUUAUAAAAUUCAAUAAAAUAUUUUGUUCCUGUAGAUAUUUCGACCGAGGACAGUGGCGAGAUAAAAGACGUCAGUAUCCGAUGUAAAUACACAAGCAUGCUCUGCUGUAAAAACGUUUUGGUACGUGAUUUCAUGGUUGGAUCUUGAGUACUUGCCAUGGCUCUUGGUUUAUUUUAAAGUGUUCACCAUCAGAUUAGAAACCAAAAAGUGAUUCCACCAGACAUAGUUGAAAGAAAAUGUCCAUACACAGUCUUGGAGUACAUAGUGGUAGAAACAUGGCAGUCCAUUAUAUAUUUUGACUGAAUUAAAGCUUCCUAAAGCUCAA